rnacentral:rRNA from 1 species
CCGUUGUACACACCGCCCGUCCACACCAUGGGAGUGGGUUUCACCAGAAGCCGGUCGCCUAACCGCAAGGGGGGCGGCCGACCACGGUGAGAGUUCAUGACUGGGGUG